AUUGAACGCUGGCGGCAUGCCUUACACAUGCAAGUCGAACGGUAACAGGUUAAGCUGACGAGUGGCGAACGGGUGAGUAAUGUAUCGGAACGUGCCCAGUCGUGGGGGAUAACUACUCGAAAGAGUGGCUAAUACCGCAUACGACCUGAGGGUGAAAGCGGGGGACCGUAAGGCCUCGCGCGAUUGGAGCGGCCGAUAUCAGAUUAGCUAGUUGGUGGGGUAAAAGCCCACCAAGGCGACGAUCUGUAGCUGGUCUGAGAGGACGACCAGCCACACUGGGACUGAGACACGGCCCAGACUCCUACGGGAGGCAGCAGUGGGGAAUUUUGGACAAUGGACGCAAGUCUGAUCCAGCCAUGCCGCGUGCGGGAAGAAGGCCUUCGGGUUGUAAACCGCUUUUGUCAGGGAAGAAACGAGUUUCUCUAAUACAGAGACUUAAUGACGGUACCUGAAGAAUAAGCACCGGCUAACUACGUGCCAGCAGCCGCAGUAAAAC
rnacentral:rRNA from 1 species